UACAGAGGUGGCAAGCGUUGUUCGGAAUUACUGGGCGUAAAGGGCGCGUAGGCGGCCUUCUUAGUCGGACGUGAAAUCCCCAGGCUUAACUUGGGAACUGCGUCCGAUACUGGGAGGCUUGAGUGCGGGAGAGGGAUGUGGAAUUCCAGGUGUAGCGGUGAAAUGCGUAGAUAUCUGGAGGAACACCGGUUGCGAAGGCGGCAUCCUGGACCGACACUGACGCUGAGGCUCGAAAGCUAGGGGAGCAAACGGG
rnacentral:rRNA from 1 species